AGACGAACUUCUGCGAAAGCAUUUGCCAAGGAUGUUUUCAUUAAUCAAGAACGAAAGUUGGGGGCUCGAAGACGAUUAGAUACCGUCGUAGUCUCAACCAUAAACGAUGCCGACUAGGGAUUGGCAGGUGUUUCGUUGAUGACCCUGCCAGCACCUUAUGAGAAAUCAAAGUUUUUGGGUUCCGGGGGGAGUAUGGUCGCAAGGCUGAAACUUAAAGGAAUUGACGGAAGGGCACCACCAGGCGUUAAAAAAGCAGAAGCUCAGCGCCUAAAAGUCAGUGGGAAACCACUGGCUAGUGCUUGGGUGCUGCUCUGACAGCACUUGAGCGCAACACUGAUCAAAUUGCGGGAAAGCCCUAAAGCUUUGCUAACCAAGCUGAGUGUGAAAGCACUCAGUGGCCGGGUUAAAGACCUUGGGUAUGGUAAAAUCAGCAAAGAUGCAACAAUGGGCAAUCCGCAGCCAAGCUCCUUAAGCCUUCUAGGCUAUGGAGAAGGUUCAGAGACUAAAUGGCAGUGGGCCAACUUGUUGGCUUAAGAUAUAGUCCGUCCCAGCUGAAAGGCUGUCUGCUAGAGGAAGACUAUCCAGGUCUGAGAGCUAGCAGAGGGUAAGAGGGAGAAGUGAUCUCCCACUUACUUGGAGGAAACGGGAGCCUGCGGCUUAAUUUGACUCAACACGGGAAAACUUACCAGGUCCAGACACGGGGAGGAUUGACAGAUUGAGAGCUCUUUCUUGAUUCUGUGGGUGGUGGUGCAUGGCCGUUCUUAGUUGGUGGGUUGCC
rnacentral:rRNA from 1 species